UAGCGGCGAGCGAACGCGGAGAAGCCCAAACCAGAGAGCUUGCUCUUUGGGGUUGUGGGACGUCUCACAUGGAGUUACAAAGGAACCGGUUAAGCGAAGAGGUUUGGAAAGACCCACCAAAGAAGGUAAAAGCCCUGUAGUUGAAAGCCUGUUCCCUCCGAGACGGAUCCCGAGUAGUGCGGGGCACGUGAAACCCCGUAUGAAUCCGGCAGGACCAUCUGCCAAGGCUAAAUACUUCCUAGCGACCGAUAGUGAAGCAGUACCGUGAGGGAAAGGUG
rnacentral:rRNA from 1 species